CCUACGGGAGGCAGCAGUGGGGAAUAUUGCACAAUGGGGGAAACCCUGAUGCAGCGACGCCGCGUGAGAGAAGAAGAAUUUCGGGAGGUAAAGCUCUAUCAGCAGGGAAGAAAAUGACGGUACCUGAGUAAGAAGCUCCGGCUAAAGACGUGCCAGCAGCCGCGGUAAUACGUCUGGAGCAAGCGUUAUCCGGAUUUACUGGGCGUAAAGGGAGCGUAGGCGGCCUGCCAAGUCUGAUGUGAAAUACCGGGGCUCAACCCCGGGGCUGCAUUGGAAACUGGCAGGCUGGAGUGCCGGAGAGCCUGGCGGACUUCCUCUUGUAGCGGUGACAUGCGUCGAUAUUAGGAGGAACACCAGUGGCGACGGCGGCCUGCUGGACGGUGUCUGACGCUGAGGCUC
rnacentral:rRNA from 1 species